UACGUAGGGCGCAAGCGUUAUCCGGAAUUAUUGGGCGUAAAGAGCUCGUAGGCGGUUUGUCGCGUCUGCCGUGAAAGUCCGGGGCUCAACUCCGGAUCUGCGGCGGGUACGGGCAGACUAGAGUGCAGUAGGGGAGACUGGAAUUCCUGGUGUAGCGGUGAAAUGCGCAGAUAUCAGGAGGAACACCGGUGGCGAAGGCGGGUCUCUGGGCCAUUACUGACGCUGAGGAGCGAAAGCGUGGGGAGCGAACAGG
rnacentral:rRNA from 1 species